CACUGUUACGGUUCUUUCAGAAUCUGUCUAGCUAAUUUUCUGGCUUUUCCAGGAAAAUCCCC
ensembl:snRNA U7 U7 small nuclear RNA